UACGUAGGGGGCUAGCGUUGUUCGGAAUCACUGGGCGUAAAGGGCGCGUAGGCGGCCGAUCAAGUCGGGGGUGAAAGCCUGUGGCUCAACCACAGAAUUGCCUUCGAUACUGUCUGGCUUGAGACCGGAAGAGGUAAGUGGAACUGCGAGUGUAGAGGUGAAAUUCGUAGAUAUUCGCAAGAACACCAGUGGCGAAGGCGGCUUACUGGUCCGGUUCUGACGCUGAGGCGCGAAAGCGUGGGGAGCAAACAGG
rnacentral:rRNA from 1 species